UCUAACAUGUGCGCGAGUCAUUGGGACUGCAAGCCUAAAGGCGUAAUGAAAGUAAAGAUCGAUUAAUUGUCGAUUGAGGGAGGAUGGUUCGCGUUACGAUGCGGAUCCGCACUCCCGGGGCGUCUCGAACUCAUUGCGAGUUGAGGCGCACCCAGAGCGUACACGUUGGGACCCGAAAGAUGGUGAACUAUGCCUGGUCAGGACAAAGUCAGGGGAAACCCUGAUGGAGGUCCGUAGCGAUUCUGACGUGCAAAUCGAUCGUCGGAACUGGGUAUAGGGGCGAAAGACUAAUCGAACCAUCUAGUAGCUGGUUCCCUCCGAAGUUUCCCUCAGGAUAGCUGGCACUCGCUUUUGAAGCGAGUCUCAUCUGGUAAAGCGAAUGAUUAGAGGCCUUGGGGCCGAAACGACCUCAACCUAUUCUCAAACUUUAAAUGGGUGAGAUCUCUGGCUUGCUUAAAUUAUGAAGCCACGAGAUUUUCAUUUUGGAUCAGAGUGCCAAGUGGGCCAAUUU
rnacentral:rRNA from 1 species